rnacentral:rRNA from 1 species
UGCGAGUCCAGAGCUUUCGGAGCUCGGCGUACCGCUCAGUAACACGUGGGUAACCUAACCUAUGCAGGGGAAUAACCUCGGGAAACUGAGUAUAAUGCCCCAUAGUCCACUACGCCUGGAACGGUGAGUGGAUCAAAGCUCAGGCGGCAUAGGAUGGGCCUGCGGCGUAUCAGGUUGUAGGGGGUGUAAAGUACCCUCUAGCCAUCUACGCGUACGGGUGUUGGGAGACAUAGCCCGGAGAUGGAUUCUGAGACACGAAUCCAGACCCUACGGGGUGCAGCAGGCGCGAAAACUUGACAAUGCGAGCAAUCGUGAUCAGGGAACUCCAAGUGGCUGGGGUAAGACCCAGUCUUUUCAUAACUCUUCAAAGGUUGUAGAAUAAGGGGUGGGUAAGGACGGUGCCAGCCGCCGCGGUAAUACCGGCGCCUCAAGUGGUAGUCGCUUUUAUUGGGCCUAAAACGUCCGUAGCCGGUUUGGUACAUUCGUGGGUAAAUCAACUCGCUCAACGAGUUGAAUUCUGCGAGGACGGCCAGACUUGGGACCGGGAGAGGUGUGGGGUACUCUCAGGGUAGGGGUAAAAUCCUGUCAUCCUGAGAGGACCACCUGUUGCGAAGGCGCCACACUAGAACGGAUCCGAC